rnacentral:rRNA from 1 species
UACGGAGGGUGCAAGCGUUGUUCGGAAUCAUUGGGCGUAAAGCGCGUGUAGGCGGCUUGGCAAGUCGGUUGUGAAAGCCCGGGGCCCAACCCCGGAACUGCAUCCGAAACUGGCUGGCUAGAGUCCCGGAGAGGAAGGCAGAAUUCCCGGUGUAGGGGUGAAAUCCGUAGAUAUCGGGAGGAAUACCAGCGGCGAAGGCGGCCUUCUGGACGGUGACUGACGCUGAGACGCGAAAGCGUGGGGAGCAAACAGG